rnacentral:tRNA from 1 species
GGAGAUGUGGCUCAGUGGUAGAGCACUUGCCUGGUGUGUGUGAUUUCCUGGGUUCAAUCCCCAGUACCACGA